rnacentral:rRNA from 1 species
CGACGCUGGCGGCGUGCCUAACACAUGCAAGUCGAACGGAACUAUUUGAAGGAUCUCUUCGGAGUGACGUAAUUUUAGUUAGUGGCGGACGGGUGAGUAACGCGUGAGUAACCUGCCUCUGAGGAGGGGAAUAACGUUCUAGAAAAGAACGCUAAUACCGCAUAACAUAUAUUUGCCGCAUGACAGAUAUAUACAAAGUAUUUUUAUCGCUCAGAGAUGGACUCGCGUCGAUUAGUUAGUUGGUGAGGUAACGGCUCACCAAGACCGCGAUCGGUAGCCGGACUGAGAGGUUGAUCGGCCACAUUGGGACUGAGACACCGGCCCAGACUCCGUACGGGAGGCAGCAGGUGGGGGAUAUUGCGCAAGUGGGGGCAAACCCCUGACGCAGCAACGCCGCGUGAAGGACGAAGGUCUUCGGAUUGUAAACUUCUUUUGUCAGGGACGAAAUUUGACGGUACCUGACGAAUAAGCUCCGGCUAACUACGUGCCAGCCGCCGC